ensembl:lncRNA
UGUAUCAACCAUAAUAGUAGAAGCACCUUUUGAUGUAACAGACAAAGAAAUAUAAGUUAAAAGAAAGAGAUAGGAAUUAUCAGAAGAGAAAAGAGAAGGGAAAGACAUUGAGAUGUUUGGAGGGGGGAGGUUGUGGGCAGUCUAGUGAAGAAGUGAAAGUGAAAAUGUUCCUCAGAUUUCUGAGGAGGAAGUCAGUACGCAUAAAUACGCGAACACUCUUUGACAAACUCGCACAAGCCAGGAGGGAGAGAGAGCGCAAAAAAACAGGAGGAAUGGCGGGAGCAGGGAACAGGUUUUUCAAGACACAAGCCUACAGAUGAAACGAGAUAAAUAAACAAGUUUGAUUCAUUGAGGCACCAAACUUGUUUGUGGUAAAAGCUGUUUGAAUGUUAUUUCUUUUUUCUUAUUUAAUAAAAGUACACUUUGUAUGUAAAGUAGCUUGAAAUUUCCAUACAAAAAAAAAAAAAAAAACAGUUAAAUGAUGAAGUAUUGGCAGAAGUGUUUGUUCACAGAGUGUCUGUGAAAAUGGCCACAGCAGUUUGGAAGGUAACGGAACCCAUAAUGCAGCUGUUUGCUUGAUUGACAGCUGGCUAUGGAUUCCGUGCCCUUCCUCUCUUGCAGGAGCUUGAAGAUGAAAAUUGUGUGUGUUGGGGGAAUUCAGGAGUUGGCCUCAUUCAGACAUGAUAUUGAAUGUGAAUUUUACUUCUGUAUUACUUGAAAUGUAUCACUUGAAAUUAUAGUUGAGUCAGAAAUGUGUAUGUGUGUACUGUAUAUGAGUUCUGAUGUUGCUCUGGAAUGACACGUUUUCUCCCGGAUCGCCAGAAAUAUUUUUCGCCACCGGGAACUUCGUGUCAGCCAAGAUUGGCAUCACUUCCUGACAAUCACAAAUCUUCAGAAUCUUCAGUAAUCAGUACAUCACAUAAUCUCUUACUAAAAUGCGUCAUCAGACAUUUGAAUGUUGUCUCUGGAAUUCUCCAAUAAAUUAAGAACAUUUGUCAUGCAUCACUUGUCGACUUUUUUUUUUUUUUUUUACUUUUAGGCCUUUAUCAUCAAAACUCCUAAAGAAUUUUUUAGAUCUACAUGGAGAGGAAUGAUAGAGGUUUGUGUUUUCAAUAGCUGAGUGAUCUGAAGCAGGUUUUGGAUGAUUUGGUUUGUAGAUUUUACUCUGGUUAGAGGAUAUAAAGUGAAAUCUUUGAGUCAGUGUUGCUGUUUUGGUUUUUUUGGGAAGAGAUCUAGAUCUUACUGUCAACCAUAACAUGUGACAUGUUUAGCUCUUACAGUCAAUUGUUACCUGCACCAAACAAAGCGGAAGUACUCGAAUAAGCAACUGAACAACCAGCAUUCAAAUAUGCCUCAGUAUGACCAGAUCUCAUUUUGAU